rnacentral:rRNA from 1 species
GAUGAACGCUAGCGGCAGGCUUAAUACAUGCAAGUCGAGGGACAGCACAGGUAGCAAUACUGGGUGGUAACCGGCAAACGGGUGCGGAACACGUACACAACCUUCCUUUAAGUGGGGGAUAGCCCAGAGAAAUUUGGAUUAAUACCCCGUAAUAUAGUUGAAUGGCAUCAUUUGAUUAUUAUAGCUACGGCGCUUAAUGAUGGGUGUGCGGCUGAUUAGAUAGUUGGGGGGGUAACGGCCCACCAAGUCUACGAUCAGUAGCUGAUGUGAGAGCAUGAUCAGCCACACGGGCACUGAGAAACGGGCCCGACUCCUACGGGAGGCAGCAGUAAGGAAUAUUGGUCAAUGAACGCAAGUCUGAACCAGCCAUGCCGCGUGAAGGAUUAAGGUCCUCUGGAUUGUAAACUUCUUUUAUUUGGGACGAAAAAGGGCCUUUCUAGGUCAACUGACGGUACCAGAUGAAUAAGCACCGGCUAACUCCGUGCCAGCCGCCGCAGUAACAC